rnacentral:rRNA from 1 species
AUGUCGUCUUCCACCUCUGUCAUCUCCUCUGGCCUCAACAACAACACAUAUGAACCUCUUACCCACACCAACUACAUCCUAUGGCGCGCUCAAGCCAGAUCACAUAUCAUGGGCGCCGGCCUAUACGGUUACCUCGAUCAAACCAUCGAAGAACCUUCCAACACAAUAACCACCAAGACCACCGACGGCAAGGAUCAGGUUGCUGUGAACCCUGCCUAUGCCCCCUGGUUAAUCCAGGACCAACAAAUCAUAGCCUAUCUUCUCAGGAAUCCGUCCAAAGAGGUUCUUGUCCAGGUCGCGUCGCUUGAGCGAUCACAUGCGGUCUGGAGCGCCCUAGGGAACAUGUUCUCGGCUGUCUCCCUCUCUCGCGCCAACAACAUCUGA